CCCGGGCAUAGCGUUUUACAGCCGUACACGAUAAUAAUAUAAUGUGAUGAUAGUAUCCUAGUCGACCAGCAGCCGUCGCAGACUCCACAAAGCACACGUUUUUGGGCCGCGAUAUCGUAUUACUGAUUUUGAUAUAUUUUUUUUAUAUUUUUCACUUUGUAAAAUCCGGUGAACGUCGUGCGACGGUGUUAAAAAAAAACAGAAAAAAAAAAAAAAUUAAAAUCGUUAAAAACCGUGCGCUCGUCCGUCGCCCGCCCGUUAAUACCGUAUAGUGUUUUUAUAAAUAAAAAAUAACACAAAAAAGCGUGCACGUAUUAAUAAUAUUACCUCGCGUGUUUACGUUUCGUGCAAUGUCACCGCGACAAUGAUUUAAAAGAAAAAUUAAAAAAAAAAAAACCAAAUACUCAAUCCGAUAAAUAUUCACGAUAUCGCGCUUUGUCGAAAAAUAAAUAUUAUAACAUAGUUUUCGCUCUUCCGUGACGACGAACAGCACCGCCGAAAACAGUAGGUAUGUGACAUUU